AGUAGAUAAGGGCAUACGGCGGAUGCCUAGGCUUCUAGAGACGAAGAAGGACGUGAUAAGCUGCGAAAAGCUACGGGGAGGUGCACAUGACCAUUGAUCCGUAGAUAUCCGAAUGGGGCAACCCGGCAUGUUGAAGACAUGUCAUCCGAAAGGAGGUUAACCCGGGGAACUGAAACAUCUAAGUACCCGGAGGAAGAGAAAACAAUAGUGAUUCCCUCAGUAGUGGCGAGCGAACGGGGAAUAGCCCAAACCGAUUUUGUUUCGGCAAGGUCGGGGUUGUAGGACUGCGACGUAAGAUGCAUAAUUAAGCUGAACCUACUGGAAAGUAGGACCAUAGGGGGUGAUAGUCCCGUAAGCGUAGCGUUAUGUUAUUUUUAGCAGUAUCCUGAGUAGGGCGGGACACGUGAAAUCCUGUCUGAAUCUGCCAGAACCAUCUGGUAAGGCUAAAUACUCCUAGAAGACCGAUAGUGAACAAGUACCGUGAGGGAAAGGUGAAAAGCACCCUGAAUAAGGGAGUGAAAUAGUACCUGAAACCGUGUGCCUACAAGCGGUCGGAGCAUCCAUGAGAUGUGACGGCGUGCCUUUUGCAUAAUGAUCCUACGAGUUGCUCCUCACUGGCGAGGUUAAGAAUUUUAGGUUCGAAGCCGAAGCGAAAGCGAGUCUGAAUAGGGCGUGCAGUCAGUGGGGGCAGACGCGAAACCAAGUGAUCUACCCAUGGUCAGGUUGAAGCUCUGGUAACACAGAGUGGAGGACCGAACCCGUUGACGUUGAAAAGUCUUGGGAUGAACUGUGGGUAGGGGUGAAAGGCUAAUCAAACUUGGAAAUAGCUCGUACUCCCCGAAAUGCAUUUAGGUGCAGCCUCGGUAUUGAGUGUUAUAGAGGUAGAGCUACUGGUUGGAUGCGGGGGUUUCAUCGCCUACCAAAUCCUGUCAAACUCCGAAUGCUAUAACAUGCUUGCCGGGAGUGAGGGCAUGGGUGCUAAGGUCCAUGUCCGAGAGGGAAAGAACCCAGACCAUCUGCUAAGGUCCCCAAAUGUAUGCUAAGUUGAUCAAACGUGGUCAGACUGCAUUGACAGCUAGGAUGUUGGCUUGGAAGCAGCCAUUCAUUUAAAGAGUGCGUAACAGCUCACUAGUCGAGCGGUCCGGCGUGGAUAAUAAUCGGGCAUAAGCAUACUACCGAAGCAAUGGAUUGUAUUUAUACAGUGGUAGGGGAGCAUUCUAUUUGCGCCGAAGGUGUGCUGCGAGGCAUGCUGGAGCGGAUAGAAAAGAAAAUGUAGGAAUGAGUAACGAUAAUGCGGGUGAGAACCCCGCACGCCGAUAGACUAAGGUUUCCUCAGCAAUGCUAAUCAGCUGAGGGUUAGUCGGGACCUAACGCGAACCCGAAGGGGGUAGUGGAUGGACAACUGGUUAAUAUUCCAGUACUUGUAUAUACUGCGAUGGGGUGACGAAGCUGUGACAAUCCCGCGAUCUGACGGAAUAGAUCGUUAAAGCGUGUAGAUAUUGACGAUGUAGGCAAAUCCGCAUUGUUAGUCGAACGUGAUAGUACUCCAAGUCUUCGGAUGCGGAGAUAGUGGAUGUAAUCGUACUUCCGAGAAAAACCUCUAAGCUUCAGGUAUAUACAACCCGUACCGUAAACCGACACAGGUAGUCAAGGAGAGAAUCCUAAGGCGCUCGAGUGAAUCGUGGCUAAGGAACUAGGCAAAAUCGCCUCGUAACUUCGGGAGAAGAGGCGCCCCACUCCGGUGGGGCCGCAGUGAAUAGGCCCAGGCGACUGUUUAUCAAAAACACAGGACUCUGCGAAAUCGAAAGAUGAAGUAUAGGGUCUGACACCUGCCCGGUGCUGGAAGGUUAAGAGGAGAUGUUAUCUUCGGAGAAGCAUUGAAUUGAAGCCCCAGUAAACGGCGGCCGUAACUAUAACGGUCCUAAGGUAGCGAAAUUCCUUGUCGGGUAAGUUCCGACCUGCACGAAUGGUGUAACGAUCUGGGCACUGUCUCGGCCACGAGCUCGGUGAAAUUGUAGUAUCGGUGAAGAUGCCGAUUACCCGCAGCGGGACGAAAAGACCCCGUGAACCUUCACUACAGCUUAGUAUUGACUUCGGACAAGUAAUGUGUAGGAUAGGUGGGAGACUAUGAAGCGGCGUCGCUAGGCGUUGUGGAGUCGACGUUGAAAUACCACCCUUUACUUGUUUGGAGCCUAACCCCUCACGGGGGACAGUGCUUGGCGGGUAGUUUGACUGGGGUGGUCGCCUCCAAAAGAGUAACGGAGGCUUCUAAAGGUACCCUCAGCACGCUUGGUAACCGUGCGUAGAGUGCAAUGGCAUAAGGGUGCUUGACUGUGAGACCUACAAGUCGAUCAGGUACGAAAGUAGAGCAUAGUGAUCCGGUGGUUCCGCAUGGAAGGGCCAUCGCUCAAAGGAUAAAAGGUACUCCGGGGAUAACAGGCUGAUCUCCCCCAAGAGCUCACAUCGACGGGGGGGUUUGGCACCUCGAUGUCGGCUCGUCACAUCCUGGGGCUGGAGAAGGUCCCAAGGGUUGGGCUGUUCGCCCAUUAAAGUGGCACGCGAGCUGGGUUCAGAACGUCGCGAGACAGUUCGGUCUCUAUCUGCUGUGGGCGUAAGAAAUUUGAGGGAAUCUGACUUUAGUACGAGAGGACCGAGUUGGACGUACCGCUAGUGUACCUGUUGUGGCGCCAGCUGCACCGCAGGGUAGCUAUGUACGGAAGGGAUAAGCGCUGAAAGCAUAUAAGCGCGAAGCCCAUCCCGAGAUGAGAUUUCUCUUAAGGGUCGUUAUAGACGAUGACGUUGAUAGGCUACAGGUGUAAAGGCAGUAAUGUCAUAGCCGAGUAGUACUAAUUACCCGUGAGCUUUUUUC
rnacentral:rRNA from 1 species